UCCUGCCCCCACCAUGGCCCCCACCCUGCAUGGAUCUGAUCUUACUGACAUGCACUGAAGAGCUGGACCAAGGCACGGAGAGGCAGGGCAAACAGGCUGGAGGGCCACAGCCCAAGAGGGGAGCCUCCCGUGGAGACCUGGCUGCUGGACCACCUCCCCACCUCACUUGACCAGUAGGGGGCCCAGACCCUAUGGGUUCCUGUAGCUUGGCUCUCCUGGGUACCAAGAGAUGACGACACAGAUCUCAGGAGCUGCCCUAUGUGAGGACGUCAGGGGUCAGAGAGGAGGAGGUGGCCAAGCUGGGAGUCAGACCCAGAUGGAUUUAUUUCAAAGCCCAGGCUCUCAGCCAUCUGCGGUCUGUGUGGGGCCUGUAUGACCAAUGGGUUUGGACUAGCAACCCCGCAGGGUCCUUUCCAGAACGGAACUACACACCCGGCGCUGGGACAGCCUGCUGCAGGGACUAUGAGCUGGCGAUCUGGAGACACGGCACUCCCCUGGCCAAGUGGGCUCCUGGGGCAGACGGAGGAGCCUCACUGCAGGAACUGCCCUCGAGAAGCCCACCUCUGCACUUGGACUGGAGAAUGCCACGUCCUGCAAUCCUGCUGUCUUCCCUCGCCCUCCUCAACACAACACGCAAACAUGGUCACCCUUCGAAAGAAACGCCCCAGCCAAAGGCCCAAGUGAGCAGCCUCUUUAGGGACAGCAGGGGGUGAGGAGGAAGCCCCAGCUCAAAGACUCACCUUCUC